rnacentral:rRNA from 1 species
AACCGCAUGCAGGUAAACGGGUGGCGUCAAGCUGCGAACCCAGAGGAUUCAGCUGGCUAGGAUGUUGUGAUGCGCCUGGCGCAUCCAUCAGUCGGAAUAAGAUGUGAUAGUCCACUGGGAGACGGUGGGCCCGGCCGCAAGGUUGGGAUAUGUGUACCGGGUGUUAGCCGGAGCAUGCUAUUCAUCUGUUGGGCUGUCUAGUCAGUGCACUUUCUCUGUGGUGAACACCACGACCGGUGGAAUUGCCAGUCUGCUGUAGUCAAGUCUUGCUGAGAGGGUCCUUGUGGCCAACUUGGUAGGAUCACAGGCAAUGUCAGUGAACGGCGUAGGGGUGCCUUUGGUGUUCUUACGUGUUAUCGGCCACUGCUUGUCAACGGGCCUGCUCGGCGGUUGUUGUAACUGCUGCUGGGUGGUCUGGUGGGCUAUGGUGGUAAUAAAAACUGUGCAAGGCACCGGAGAUGUCGGCCUCAAAUGCACUCUGCACUGGCAUGUUACAAGUGCGAGGGGGUGCCAUUGCGGUCUGCCUGUUGUUGAGUCUGAUUGUCGUGUCGCCUGCGCAAAGUGGGCCCGGCAGUGGCUUGAUGCAGGAUGGGCCGUGGAUGGUGUCUCUCAGGUGUAGGGUGCGGUGGGCCCAAUAGUCAGUGGUGCUGUGGUAGACGAGCUACCCGACCCGUCUUGAAACACGGACCAAGGAGUUUAACAUGUAUGCAAGUCAAGGGGUCCUACGAAACCCAAAGGCGCAGUGAAAGUAAAGCUUCGACUUGUUCUCGGAGUGAGGUGAGAUCCUGCCGUGACUCGCAUCGCUUGGUGCCAGCAUCAGGCAAAGAGCGGUAGGCGCAUCACCGGCCCGUCCCAUGAUGUGGUCAUUGGAUGUCUGCAGUGGUUGCUUGC